GCAGACACAUUCCAGCCAAUCAGCAGCAGACCCUCCCUCCCAGGCCCUCCCACCUCCUGGACAGCAUCCAUUGUGAAGCUGCAUUCUUAGUGAGCUGUCCAGGAGGUGGGAGAGUCUGGGAGGGAGGGUCUGCUGCUGAUUGGCUGGAAUGUGUCUG